CCGCAGAGGGCCACAUACCAUGCAGNUCGAACGGUAGAGGGGGUAACCCCUUGAGAGUGGCGAACGGGUGAGUAAUGUAUCGGAACGUGCCCAGUCGUGGGGGAUAACGUAGUGAAAAUUACGCUAAUACCGCAUACGAUCUAUGGAUGAAAGCGGGGGAUCGCAAGACCUCGCGCGAUUGGAGCGGCCGAUAUCAGAUUAGGUAGUUGGUGGGGUAAAGGCUCACCAAGCCAACGAUCUGUAGCUGGUCUGAGAGGACGACCAGCCACACUGGAACUGAGACACGGUCCAGACUCCUACGGGAGGCAGCAGUGGGGAAUUUUGGACAAUGGACGCAAGUCUGAUCCAGCCAUUCCGCGUGCAGGACGAAGGCCUUCGGGUUGUAAACUGCUUUUGUACGGAACGAAAAAGCUCUUAUUAAUACUAGGAGUCCAUGACGGUACCGUAAGAAUAAGCACCGGCUAACUACGUGCCAGCAGCCGCGGUAAUACGUAGGGUGCAAGCGUUAAUCGGAAUUACUGGGCGUAAAGCGUGCGCAGGCGGUUAUAUAAGACAGAUGUGAAAUCCCCGAGCUUAACUUGGGAACUGCAUUUGUGACUGUAUAGCUAGAGUACGGCAGAGGGGGAUGGAAUUCCGCGUGUAGCAGUGAAAUGCGUAGAUAUGCGGAGGAACACCGAUGGCGAAGGCAAUCCCCUGGGCCUGUACUGACGCUCAUGCACGAAAGCGUGGGGAGCAAACAGGAUUAGAUACCCUGGUAGUCCACGCCCUAAACGAUGUCAACUGGUUGUUGGGUCUUCACUGACUCAGUAACGAAGCUAACGCGUGAAGUUGACCGCCUGGNGAGUACGGCCGCA
rnacentral:rRNA from 1 species